rnacentral:rRNA from 1 species
GACGAACGCUGGCGGCGUGCUUAACACAUGCAAGUCGAACGGAAAGGCCCUGCUUUUGUGGGGUGCUCGAGUGGCGAAAGGGUGAGUAACACGUGAGUAACCUGCCCUUGACUUUGGGAUAACUUCAGGAAACUGGGGCUAAUACCGGAUAGGAGCUCCUGCUGCAUGGUGGGGGUUGGAAAGUUUCGGCGGUUGGGGAUGGACUCGCGGCUUAUCAGCUUGUUGGUGGGGUAGUGGCUUACCAAGGCUUUGACGGGUAGCCGGCCUGAGAGGGGGACCGGCCACAUUGGGACUGAGAUACGGCCCAGACUCCUACGGGAGGCAGCAGUGGGGAAUAUUGCACAAUGGGCGGAAGCCUGAGGCGGCAACGCCGCGUGCGGGAUGACGUCCUUCGGGUUGUAAACCGCUUUCGCCUGUGACGAAGCGUGAGUGACGGUAAUGGGUAAAGAAGCACCGGCUAACUACGUG